UACGGGGGGGGCAAGCGUUGUCCGGAUUUACUGGGCGUAAAGAGCGCGCAGGCGGUCGUUCAAGUCGAGUGUGAAAGCCCCCGGCUCAACUGGGGAGGGUCACUCGAUACUGAUCGACUCGAAGGCAGGAGAGGGAAGCGGAAUUCCCGGUGUAGUGGUGAAAUGCGUAGAUAUCGGGAGGAACACCAGUGGCGAAGGCGGCUUUCUGGCCUGCUCUUGACGCUGAGGCGCGAAAGCUAGGGUAGCAAACGGG
rnacentral:rRNA from 1 species